CCUACGGGUGGCAGCAGUGGGGAAUAUUGCACAAUGGGGGAAACCCUGAUGCAGCGACGUCGCGUGAGUGAUGAAGUAUUUCGGUAUGUAAAGCUCUAUCAGCAGGGAAGAAAAUGACGGUACCUGACUAAGAAGCCCCGGCGAACUACGUGCCAGCAGCCGCGGGAAUACGGAGGGGGCAAGCGUUAUCCGGAUGGACUGGGUGUAAAGGGAGCGUAGACGGCGGUGCAAGCCAGUUGGGAAAGUCCGGGGCUCAACCCCGGGAGUGCAUUUGGAACUGUGCUGCUAGAGUGGAGGAGAGGCAGGCGGAAUUCGUGGUGUAGCGGUGAAAUGCGUAGAUAUUAGGAGGAACGCCGGUGGCGAAGGCGGCUUACUGGACUGUAACUGACGUUGAGGCUCGAAAGCGUGGGGAGCAAACAGGAGUAGAUACCCUUGUAGUC
rnacentral:rRNA from 1 species